rnacentral:rRNA from 1 species
AACGAACGCUGGCGGCAGGCCUAACACAUGCAAGUCGAACGCUCCGCAAGGAGAGUGGCAGACGGGUGAGUAACACGUGGGAAUCUUCCUAUCGGUACGGAAUAGCUCAGGGAAACUUGAGGUAAUACCGCAUACGCCUUCGGGAAGGAUUCAUCGCCGAUAGAUGAGCCCGCGUCUGAUUAGCUAGUUGGUGGGGUAAUGGCCUACCAAGGCGACGAUCAGUAGCUGGUCUGAGAGGAUGACCAGCCACACUGGGACUGAGACACGGCCCAGACUCCUACGGGAGGCAGCAGUGGGGAAUAUUGGACAAUGGGCGCAAGCCUGAUCCAGCCAUGCCGCGUGAGUGACGAAGGUCUUCGGAUCGUAAAGCUCUUUUGCCAGGGACGAUAAUGACGGUACCUGGAGAAUAAGCCCCGGCUAACUUCGUGCCAGCAGCCGCGGUAAU